GGAAAUUAAUAAUCCAUAUUACCACUGAGCAUUCGAUCGAAGAAGACAACCUUCCCCAAUAGAGGAGGACUCUUCUUUGGUCAAGGAUAUACGAGUAGCUGCGUUCCCCUGCUAGAACCUCCAAACAAGCUCUCAAAGUCCAUAUUACUGUUGAAUAGGAGCUUUUAUUGCUGUUCUCUGAAUUUUGUCAUUAAAA
rnacentral:snRNA from 1 species